AGAUUCACUGUUAAUAACUUAUUUUUGAAUUGCCCCCUUAACUAUCAAAUUGCCCCCCUGUGGGGGCGUGUGCCCCACGCUGGGAACCACUGGGCUAUCUGAAGGGUGGAGAUCACACAGCCCUGCCCCAGGAGCCCAUGCGCUCCCCAGUGCACACCUGUUCGUGCACACUGGUCACGCGUGCUUGCAUGUGGAGGCAUGCCCUGCCGUGGGUGGUGGGUGGCUCCUCCACCACGACAGGCCCGGGGUGUGUCCUGCAUGGAAGCGGGUGGGGGCUCUGAGGACCAGGAAGCUCCAGGGCCAGGCCGUGAUUGGGUGCCAGACAAGACGGUCAGGUUGGGGUGGAAGCUGUUGCUCUGGCCCCUUUCUUCCUCCUUCCUUGACCCAAGUGACCAGAAGCCGCGCAGAGGUCUGGUCUGCAGCGCCAGGUGCGGAAGGAAGGAGCCAAGGAGAGCUUGACGGGGCCUCUGCCGGGAGGGGAGCAGGAUAGAAGGUGGUGUGCCAACCCCUGGCUCGGACCGUCUCUUCUACCAUGAGGUGGAGUCGCCAUCUGCCCCGGGCCUUUUGGGGGCCUGGCCUGGCAAGAGCACCCCAGCCAGCAGAUGAAAAUAUCCCUUGGAUGAUCCACUGGAAUUGGGCCCUUAAAGGCGGGUGUCCCCUUGGCCCCCCUAGGGCCUUUACCCAUCACUAUGGAAGCUCAGUGGGCAGUGUUCCCCCGUCAGGGAGGCAUGGACCUGUGUUACGGAGCAUCUCUGCUGCUGAGGCCAUCCAGCAGCACCGCCGGAACCUGGCCGAGUGGUUCAGCCGGCUGCCCCGGGAAGAGCGCCAGUUCGGCCCGACCUUCGCACUAGACACGGUGCAUGUGGACCCCGUGGUCCGUGAGAGUGCCCCCGAUGAGCUGCUUCGCCCGCCUUCGGAGCUUCGUUCCCCUUCGCAGCCACCCCCGGCCACGCGCCCGCCCCUGGCCCUGUCUCAGCUCUUUGACCCGGACGCCUGUGGGUGCCAGGUGCAGACGGUGGUCCUGUAUGGCACCGUGGGCACCGGCAAGAGCACACUGGUGCGCAAGAUGGUGCUGGACUGGUGCUACGGGCGGCUGCCAGCCUUCGAGCUGCUCAUUCCCUUCUCCUGUGAGGACCUGUCGUCCCUGGGCCUGGCCCCGGCCUCCUUGUGCCAGCUGGUGGCCCGGCGCUACACGGCCCUGAAGGAGGUUCUGCCCCUGAUGGCCGCAGCGGGCUCUCGCCUGCUGUUUGUGCUCCAUGGCUUGGAGCGGCUCAACCUGGACUUCCGGCUGGCAGGCACGGGGCUGUGCAGUGACCCCCAGGAGCCAGCGGCGCCGGCUGCCAUCCUCGUCAAUCUGCUGCGCAAAUACAUGCUGCCCGAGGCCAGCAUCCUGGUGACCACCCGGCCCUCCGCCGUGGGCUGCAUCCCCAGCAAGUACGUGGGCCGCUACGGCGAGAUCUGCGGCUUCUCCGACACCAACCUGCAGAAGCUCUACUUCCAGCUGCGCCUCCACCAGCCGGACUGCGGGCCCGGCGCCGGGGGUGCAGGCGUCCCGGCCACGGCGGCGCAGCGGGACGGCCUAGUGGAGAUGCUGUCCCGGAACCUGGAGGGCCACCACCAGAUCACGGCCGCCUGCUUCCUGCCCUCCUACUGCUGGCUGGUGUGCGCCACCCUGCACUUCCUGCACGCGCCCACCCCGGCCGGCCAGACCCUCACCGGCAUCUACACCAGCUUCCUGCGCCUCAACUUCAGCGGGGAGGUGCUGGCCAGCGGCGACCCCGCGCAGCUGUCGCUGAUGGCCUACGCCGCCCGGACCAUGGGCAAGCUGGCCUACGAGGGGGUGUCCUCCCGCCAGACCCGCUUCUCCGAGGAGGACGUGCGCGGCUGCCUGGAGGCGGGCGUCCGCACAGAGGAGGAGUUCCAGCUGCUGCACAUCUUCCGCAGGGACGCCCUGCGCUUCUUCCUGGCCCCGUGCGUGGAGCCGGGGCACCCGGGCACCUUCGUGUUCACUGUGCCGGCCAUGCAGGAGUACCUGGCCGCCCUCUACAUUGUGCUGGGCUUGCGCAAGACCACGCUGCAGCGGGUGGGCAAGGACGUGGCCGAGCUGGCGGGCCGCGUCGGGGAGGACGUCAGCCUGGUCCUGGGCAUCGUGGCCAAGCUGCUGCCGCUGCGGAUCCUGCCCGUGCUCUUUAACCUGCUGAAGGUGGUCCCACGCGUGUUCGGGCGAGUGGUGGGGAAGAACCGCGAGGCGGUGGCCCAGGCCAUGGUGCUGGAGAUGUUCCGAGAGGAGGAUUACAACAACGAUGAUGUCCUGGACCAGAUGGGCGCCAGCAUCCUGGGCCUGGAGGGCCCCCGGCGCCACCCCGACGAGGCCCCCGAGGACGAGGUCUUCGAGCUCUUCCCCAUGUUCAUGGGGGGGCUGCUCUCUGCCCAGAACCGGGCCAUGCUGGCCCAGCUUGGCUGCCCCAUCAAGAACCUGGACGCCCUGGAGAACGCCCAGGCCAUCAAGAAGAAGCUGGGCAAGCUGGGCCGGCGGGCGCUGCCCCCCUCAGAGCUCCUGGACCACCUCUUCUUCCACUACGAGUUCCAGAACCAGCGCUUCUCUGCCGAGGUGCUCGGCUCCCUGCGCCGGCUCGACCUGGCGGGCGUGCGCAUGACACCCCUCAAGUGCACGGUGGUGGCAGCUGUUCUGGGCAGCGGCAGGCAUGCCCUGGACGAGGUGAACUUGGCCUCUUGCCAGCUGGACCCCGCUGGGCUGCGCACGCUCAUGCCUGUCCUCUUGCGCGCCCGGAAGCUGGGCUUGCAGCUCAACAGCCUGGGCCCGGAGGCCUGCAGGGACCUCCGAGAGCUGCUGCUGCACGACCAGUGCCAAGUCACCACCCUGCGGCUGUCGAACAACCCGCUGACGGCUGCAGGGGUGGCCUCGCUGGUGGAGGGCCUGGCAGGAAACACCUCCCUGACACACCUCUCCCUGCUGCACACGGGCCUCGGGGACGAGGGCCUGGAGCUGCUGGCUGCCCAGCUGCAGCACAACCAGCGGCUACAGGAGCUGAACGUGGCCUACAAUGGCGCCGGUGACACCGCGGCCCUGGCUGUGGCCAAGGCGGCCUGGGAGCACCCCUCCCUGCAGCUGCUGCACCUCUACUUCAACGAGCUCAGCUCCGAGGGCCGCCAGUUGCUGCGGGACUUGGGCGACGCGGCGGAGGGCCGAGCCCGGGUGGUGGUGUCGCUGACGGAGGGCACGGCAGUGUCGCGGUACUGGUCGGUGAUCCUCAGUGAAGUCCAGCGGAACCUCCACAGCUGGGAUCGGGCCCGGGUCCGGCGCCAUCUCCAACUCUUGCUGCGGGACCUGGAAGAUAACCGAGGCGCCACCCUGAACCCGUGGCGCAAGGCCCAGCUGCUGCACGUGGAGGGCGAGGUCACGGCGCUCCUGGAGCGGCUGGGGGGCCCUGGCAGCUGAGACGGGCUGCAGGCGCCUGGCCGGCGGCCCUCUCCCCAGCCCCUGCCCGCCGUGGCCCCCUGCCUGGCACUGCCGCUCGGUGAAGACUCCUGCGCGGCUGGAGGCAAGGACUGGCACAGUCGUCCCGCGCCCUCCGGGAGCUUGUCCAGCCCGUCCGCCCACGUCGGAGUGUCCAGGGCCACGAGGCACGCCUCCUCGCCAAGGGGCGGAAGGACGAGGACGUGGCAUUUCCGUGGCUGAAUUGCCCUGUGGCACCACCGCUUACCUGGCCCCUCUCUCCUCCCGAGGAGCCUCUGCCACCAGGGGGCGCACUUCCGCUGUCUGCCCUGCCAGGGGUGCUGUCCAGAUGUGCUGGGGGGCUCCACCCUUGCCUUCGUGCCUUCGUCUUCAAGGAGGCGGUACUGGGGGGUCAGAGGGACGGUCAGCUGAUCUCCAUGGACCUUGUCCCCACUCUGAGCGCCAGGUUGUUGAUCCAGCUAUGGAGGCAGCUGCAGGUAGGAGCUGGAGGAGCCCCCGGAGGAGACCUCAAGACCUCAGCAGCCAGGGGUGGCCGGAGGCUGAGGCCUAGGGACCAGGGCACACGAUGUUGGGGCCUGGAGCCCCGGGACGCAGCCUGGAGGUGGGGGGAGAGGGCCUGGAUGCGGCUACCUUCCUGGGCCACACCCUGUGCCGGCGGCUCGGAGGGCUGUGCCCUGGCCUGGGGGAGGGGCGGGGAGGGAGGGACAGGAAAGCCCCUUUUGGAGCAGAAUGGAGGGUCGUGUUCUGAGUUUGGGGUUCCCCUCAGUCCUCUCAGUUAGUGAGCGCGGAAGGGGUGAGGAACGCGCCUCUCCCCCUCGCCCCUUUCGCCCAGCAGGUCUCCAGGAGGCGGCUCCCGUCGCCCUGUAAGUGGUGCCCUGGGCGGGGCUGGGCAAGGGCGGGAGGGACUGGGGGGACCCCUCAGCUGACAGGAGCAUCUCCAGUGGCGUCGGGGUCUCCUUGCAGGAAGUUUGAGUUUAACCCAAAGCUGGGCAUUGAUAAUCCUGUCCUGUCCCUGGCGGAAGACCGUGGCCCCUCUGGUAACCCCCUCGCCGGCCCCUGGGCAGCCGUUCCUUUCCCCGGAGACCUCGCGGCCCCGCAGGCCCCCGUCCCCUGGAGGCCACUCCCUCGGACUGGCCUCGGUUGGGAGUAACCACGGGGACAGAGGAGGCCAGGCAUGUCCUUCUGUCCCGGCCCCGCUGCCCAACACCCAGCUGGGUGCAAGUCCACCUGUGCCCUCCCGGGGGCAGCGUCUGCUGGGCACAAGGUGACUAGCACUUGGGCCACAUCCCUCCCCC